AACUUACUCCCUCCGUUCCUAAAUAUUUGUCUUUCUAGACAUUUCAAAUGACUACUACAUACGGAUGUAUGUAGACAUAUUUUAGAGUGUAGAUUCACUCAUUUUGCUCCGUAUGUAGUCACUUGUUAAAAUGUCUAAAAGACAAGUAUUUAGGAACGGAGGGAGUAGAUG
rfam:Triticum aestivum genome assembly, contig: Triticum_aestivum_CS42_TGACv1_scaffold_640827_T_7AS-0.155882_3B-0.094407